AGCUCGUACGGGGGGCAGCAGUAGGGAAUCUUCCACAAUGGACGAAAGUCUGAUGGAGCAACGCCGCGUGAGUGAAGAAGGGUUUCGGCUCGUAAAGCUCUGUUGGUAGUGAAGAAAGAUAGAGGUAGUAACUGGCCUUUAUUUGACGGUAAUUACUUAGAAAGUCACGGCUAACUACGUGCCAGCAGCCGCGGUAAUACGUAGGUGGCAAGCGGUGUCCGGAUUUAUUGGGCGUAAAGCGCGUGCAGGCGGGUUAA
rnacentral:rRNA from 1 species